ensembl:ncRNA lncRNA:CR32636 long non-coding RNA:CR32636
UAACCGAGUGCACAAUUCCCGUUUUGCCACCAUCACCACCCAUCCAUUUCAAUGUUAAGCGCAAGCGAGAGUCCUCUAGUCGACGUGGAUGUCUCGCAUAUUAAACGGGUCUUGACUCUACCGGUAUACCCAGAUAUAUAUGUAUAUAAAUAUAUACGAUCUGCCUGAUUUGAACCCCCUUUUGUGAUCGCAGCGUUUCAACUAUUACGUGUAGUUCGCGUCGCAUCCAACGAGGUGUCUUCGGCGUAUCGGAUCGAAUCUCUUUCACCAGAACCAGUUCCUCCGGGUUAUAUACAUACAUACAUUUGUACAUUUUAUCUGGCUAUCUACAUAUGUACAUGUGGCCCAGCAGCUGCGAGGCAGUUUAUUUACUGCCCGUGGAACCUACUGGAAACAGAACCCUUUCUCAAAGUCAAGUGGUGCGAUCUGAUCGCUGCUGCGCACGUUACGUCGUUAGUUUUUUUUUGUUUGCCAUUUUGUUUACUGAAUCGGCCGGGCAUAACCGACUUGGAUGGCUCAUAGCGACCACAUUGGGCUCGCGCCAUUAUCAUUAUCAGUCUGCUAAUUGCGCCCGUUGCCAACGGAUACGAUUACUCCAGUUCACACACAAUGGUGGCCUAGCCAUACAUAAUUGGUCCCUUACAAUGGGACCUUACUGUUCGCACUUCUUGGUAACGCGCACAAAGAAAAUUUCCAAUUUCCAAAAAGAAAGGGCUUUAAAAAAAAUGCAUCAGGUACAACAUGGCGUAUGCGCAAUAUGUUGUUAUGUUAUUUCAUUCAGGGAUUCAUUCUGAUCCCUCUUAUUAAGUGGCCUUCUUAUGGCAAAAGUUGCAGAAAGAGCAAUCCAUCUUCGUGAUGCCAGAAAGUGAGCACUUAAAGUUCGUUUCUACCUGAGCUCGCUUGCCAAGCUGUACAGAAAAACGCUCUAUUCAUAUUGUUCAUCAGUCGCAACAACAGCUGCAAAAAGAGAUUGCUUCUGCUGAAUCAUGGCGGCCAAAGGCAGACCAAAGCGGCACAAAAGCUAGACAGCUACGUUUCUACAAUAAAUCCCAAGUCGGAGCCAGAUUUCUAUGCCGGUGACGGUUGACUCUCUAUUGAGGGCGUUGCAAAUGUCAUUGUCGGUGACUUUCGAUGGCUGUGAUUCGAAUUCACAUAGCCAUUUCCAAUUCCCGGGUCCAGAUCGAUGAUUAUUGGUUGGCUGAAAAACGCACUUGCCAUAAUGAAAACCCAGCCGAGUUGCUGUUGCAAUGGAAAAUGGGUGGGAAAUGCCUGUGAUAUUCACGAUUGGCCAAUUGUCGGCAGUUCGAUGUAUCCGGAAAACAAGUACAUGCAUAUACAGCUGCGGGAGAAACAAUAGCGAUAACUACAGUUCAAUUAAAAAAAAAAAUAAUUAAUUGCUCUCUGCUUAACAAUUAACUUACCAUUAUGAUUGUCAAAAGUGCUUGGAAGCAAAAUAAAAAUAUUUCAGGUUGAAGGUCAAAUAU